UAAUGCUAUUUAAAAUGAUUUAUAACAUUAAACAGAUUUGUGAGUGUCGCCGCACCUGAUCCUCGCUUGUUUUCUUCCCCGACAGAUACUCUGGCCGGAGCGUCGAUUCUCGAUGGCGGCUGAGCAGCCUCAGGGUGGUUUUCCGAUGGUGGAGAUGCACCACGGGGCUCUGCAACGCACCGCACUGGAUGGCGUGUUGCUGAAUUUCUGUUGCGUUGCCAUUGGAAGUUUUGUAGAACGGCCUCAUUUUGAGAUCUUGCACCAUUGAGCACCUCCACCAGCGUCGCGAACUAAAAACCCCAACAUCCUAGUAGAGGGUGUCACAUCAAUGUGUCUUCAUAGGUGCACCACACCACCGCAUUGGAAGGAGCUUAUGGAGGAACAUCACCGUUAGGAAAUUCUACUAAAUUUGAGAAUGAUUCUGAGAUUCUUCUUUGCUUUUAGUCCACAGAGGAAUCCAAGAAUGACUCAUAAAAAGUUUUUUUUUCCUCCUUUUAAAUUGUUUAUGGAUCAAACUCCUUUUUCUUUUGUUAUUAUGUUUUUCGCAUAACAGGCUUAUGAAGUUGUCUUAGACUGUUCGUUCACACCGAGUGUGGCAUAUUCACGCUCAACAUGAAUGCAUUACUUAUUAGAAUUUUCCCAUAAAUUUUUGUGGGCUACAAUUAAUUAUAAUAUUUUGUUUU